rnacentral:rRNA from 1 species
CGGCACGGGUGAGUAACACGUAUGCAACCUGCCUGCCACAGCCGGAUAAUCGGGAGAAAUUCCGUCUAAUACGGCAUAAUGCAUCGACGGGACAUCCUGUUGGUGCCAAAGGUUAAUUCCGGUGGCGGAUGGGCAUGCGUCGCAUUAGUUAGUUGGCGGUGUAACGGACCACCAAGACGACGAUGCGUAGGGGUUCUGAGAGGAAGGUCCCCCACACUGGUACUGAGACACGGACCAGACUCCUACGGGAGGCAGCAG